GUUUUUGAUAGCUCAGUGGUUGGAGCUUAGUUCUCGUAACCGGAAAGUCCCGGGAUCGAAUCCCGCCAGAGACA
rnacentral:tRNA from 1 species